AAAGUGGAGCAAUCCAUGAGUAGAGUGGCAAACGGGUGAGUAACGCGUGGGCGACCUACCUCAGAGUGGGGGAUAACCUUCCGAAAGGAGGGCUAAUACCGCAUGACAUACCGUGUUUGGAUACACGGAUAUCAAAGCCGGGGAUCGCAAGACCUGGCGCUUGGAGAGGGGCCCGCGUCCGAUUAGCUAGUUGGUGAGGUAACGGCUCACCAAGGCUCCGAUCGGUAUCCGGCCUGAGAGGGCGGACGGACACACUGGAACUGAGACACGGUCCAGACUCCUACGGGAGGCAGCAGUGGGGAAUUGUUCGCAAUGGGCGCAAGCCUGACGACGCAACGCCGCGUGGAGGAUGAAGACUUUCGGGUCGUAAACUCCUUUCGACCGAGAUGAAUUCCCCUCGACCUAACACGUCGAGGGGGUGACAGUAUCGAGGGAAGAAGCCCCGGCUAACUCCGUGCCAGCAGCCGCGGUAAUACGGGGGGGGCAAGCGUUGUUCGGAAUUACUGGGCGUAAAGGGUUCGUAGGUGGCUUGCUAAGUCAGACGUGAAAUCCCCCAGCUUAACUGGGGAACUGCGUCUGAUACUGGCGAGCUUGAGUGCAGGAGAGGAACGCGGAAUUCCAGGUGUAGCGGUGAAAUGCGUAGAUAUCUGGAGGAACACCGGUGGCGAAGGCGGCGUUCUGGACUGCAACUGACACUGAUGAACGAAAGCCAGGGGAGCAAACGGGAUUAGAUACCCCGGUAGUCCUGGCCCUAAACGAUGAAUGCUUGGUGUGGCGGGUAUCGAUCCCUG
rnacentral:rRNA from 1 species